rnacentral:rRNA from 1 species
UACGAAGGGGGCUAGCGUUGCUCGGAUUGACUGGGCGUAAAGGGCGCGUAGGCGGUUCGUACAGUCAGACGUGAAAUUCCUGGGCUCAACCUGGGGGCUGCGUUUGAUACGUGUGGACUUGGGUGCGGAAGAGGGUCGUGGAAUUCCCAGUGUAGAGGUGAAAUUCGUAGAUAUUGGGAAGAACACCGGUGGCGAAGGCGGCGACCUGGUCCGAUACUGACGCUGAGGAGCGAAAGCGUGGGGAGCGAACAGG